CCCUUAGAUGUUCUGGGCUGCACGCGCGCUACACUGAAGCGUUCAACGAGUAUUUCACCUUGCCCGGGAGGGUUGGGUAAUCUUUUUAAAACGCUUCGUGAUGGGGAUAGAUUAUUGCAAUUAUUAAUCUUCAACGAGGAAUUCCUAGUAAGCGCGAGUCAUCAGCUCGUGCUGACUACGUCCCUGCCCUUUGUACACACCGCCCGUCGCACCUACCGAUUGAAUGGUCCGGUGAAGCCUCGGGAUUGCGAAUGCUUCGUGCGGACGCGAGAACUUGGCUAAACCUUACCAUUUAGAGGAAGGUGAAGUCGUANCA
rnacentral:rRNA from 1 species